rnacentral:rRNA from 1 species
CCCUUAGAUGUCCUGGGCCGCACGCGCGCUACACUGAUGCAUUCAACGAGUUUCACCUUGGCCGAGAGGCCUGGGCAAUCUUUUAAACCUGCAUCGUGAUAGGGAUAGAUUAUUGCAAUUAUUAAUCUUGAACGAGGAAUUCCUAGUAAACGCAAAUCAUCAAUUUGCAUUGAUUACGUCCCUGCCCUUUGUACACACCGCCCGUCGCUCCUACCGAUUGAGUGGUCCGGUGAGGCUUUGGGAUCUGAGCGGAAAGAGCGUUUCGCUGUUUCUGCUCGGAAAACUCAGUCGAACCUUAUCAUUUAGAGGAAGGAGAAGUCGUAACA